CCGAGGUCGCCAAACUUCGCCUUGACCGGCUUGAACACCUGACCCUUGACGAUCUUUUCCUCCUUGCUCCAGCACCCCUUGACUACCUUGAUGUGCUUCACGCCGGUGGUGACGAGGUCGCCGGAGAAGGGCGACCAGUUGAUCCCGAGGAUCUUCUCGCGGUCAGCCUUGUACCAAGCGAGCAAAGUCUCUGUGCGCCACUCGUAGAUGGCAACCUUGUGCUCGUCGUCCUGGCCCACGCACGCCACGAAGUCGCCGCACGGCGAGAAGCACAGCGCGGUGACAGCCUUCUUGUGG
rnacentral:lncRNA from 1 species